rnacentral:lncRNA from 1 species
UGAAAACUAAAGUUAUUUUAAAGAAUGAUUCGUUAGAAUGAAAAGUAGCCGUAAAUUUCCCGCCCUCACGAUUAAGUGCAUGUCUCUAUUUUAUUUCUUCUCAGACAACACAAAAUAUGCAAUUUAUGUUGUCUGAUUUGUAAAUGCAUAGGGAAAAAAAUUAAGGACUGAGAUGUAACAGCAGGAAAUCUCCCACUCUUGAAAUUUAAGGAUGUUAUUUUUUCUCAGACAACAAAAUAUACAAUUUACGUUGUGUGAUUUGUAAAAUGGAUAGGGAAAAAAUUAAGGCUGAGAUGUAGCAGCGGGAAAUCUCCCGCUCUUAUAAUUUAAGAAUGUCAUUUCUCAUACACCAAAAUUUAAAGUUAUGUUGUACGAUCUAAAAAACACUUGACUCAAAAACCUAAAGGCCGAACUUGACACUAAGACAGAAAAAAAAAAGUAUUGCUAAAAAGUAUCGCGCACACACACACUCACCGCUCUCUCUCUCUUCUCUCUUUCUCUGUCGAACUCAACCGCGCGCACUCUCAUUUUCUCUCUUCUCUCUUCCUCAAUUUCUUGUCAAUCACUCCUCUCAAUUUCUUUCACUCUGGAACUCAAUCACUCCUCCCUCAAUCGAGACUAAGCCACUGUCACUCGAUUAGGGUUCGUCGAUUUGGGGUUUCGUCCAUUUGGCGCCUCGGAUUUCUUCCAAUUUGGAUCGAGGUUUGUAUUCUUCUCCUUUCUCCGAUGAGGCUUCUACGAAGGGGUUUCUGGGUUAGUUUAGUUUGAGGUUAGUUUCUGGGUUAGGUUAGUUCGAUUUCUUCGUUUCUUUGAUUAGGUGAAGAGUAACAUAACGAUUGGUUAAAGUGGAAGGAUUGGGUUCUUCGAAACGACGCCGUUAUGGUCGAAACGGAGGAAAAGGGUCGGCUUUGUGAGAGUGUUGCUGCUGUGGGUUGGUUAAAGUCGGGCCCUUGGUGGGUUCGGGUUCAGGUUUGCGUGAGUCUGGGUUUGAGUGAGAUGAGAGAAGAGGAGAGAAGAGAAUUGGGUUUGUUGAUGAGAGGUGGUAUGAGGCAGUGUAGGAGGAUAGGGAGGGUUUAUGGGUUUUGGGGGAAUAAGGAAGAUGGGGUAGUUUUGUAUUUGGUGUGUGAGGAAUGGUGGUGGUUUUGGGAGAGAUGGGUUGGGGGGUUUUGGUGUGAUUGGGAUGGGGGUGUGUGAGGCUGUGAUGGAGAUGCAUUUGUUGGUGGUGGUUUUGGUGCUUCGUGUUUCGGUUUUGAUGAUUUUGGUGGAGUUUUGAGUUGUGAGUUUUUGUAUUUGCAGAAUAUUUGUGUGUGAACCCAAGUCAGAGGUCAGUAUGUAGCUUAGUGGUUUGUGAGGCAUGACUUUGCUGAAAAGAGCGCUCACCAGUCUGAGAAGAGGCGGAUUUACAACAUGUCUAGAAAGUCUAAAAUCCAGACCAAGAUGAAGAAGGUAGUUUCUUAUCAUAUUUACAUUCUCUAUGACUUGAUAUUUACAUUAUUUGUGAAGUGAAUAUAUUCCGUGAGCACUUAUCUCUAUCAUAUCUUUAAUUGAUAAACUUCUACUUUGAUUUCUUUAGCUUUUGUCAUUCUUGGUGCUCUAUGUAUUUGUAUUCAAAUCAUAAUCUUGGGUUAUUUUGCUUCUUUCUGUUUUGGAUUAUGAGUUUAUGGAUCCUAGGAUGUAUCAGGGAAAACUAGUACAUCUAUCAACUAUAUUGUAAAUGCUAUGGUAAUUUACAUAUUUUGAUUAUCUGCUUUAUAUUGAUGGGUAUAUAUAUUGUAAAUUGUUCCUACUGCUCUUCUCCUAUGAGCUUCAUCGUCAACUUGGCUUGUUGGACAUAUCUCAUCACAUCUUUGUCAAGUAUGUGAUUACAAGCAUUUUCUUUCUUGGAAGAGUUGUGCAAAGUUCUUUUUUAGGAUCAUGCAUUGGAUGCUAUUUUCAAAAUCUAAUGUUAAAGACGGCUUUGUUUGGUUUUGAAGUUCUGUGGAUCCUGAUGUUGUUGAACUUACCAAAAUUAUGCGAGAAUUUUCUUCAUGCCUAUCCAGUUUGGCUUUUAAAAUUUUGAGAAGUUGCCUGUUGUAGUCACUUGAAGUUGGAAUUAGCUCCAUUCUUGGUGCAGUAGUUGUUCCACCAGUAAGCUUAUUCUAAUUAUAUACUUAUGCAGCUUGUUUAUGUAUUGUGAAUGCCAGUAAUGGUUUAUCUUGUAUGUCUCAAACUUGAUAAGUUCUAUGCCAAAGGAUCUUGAUAACUCCCCUUAACAUUUCAUAGGUUAUAUCCUGAUGCCAAUGUGUUUUGUCUUAUGCAAAUACAUCAUGUUUAGUAGUUCAUCCGGAAAAGGGGUAUAUAGGGUUAACACUGCUAUGAUCUUAAGUAGUGUUCCGGAAAGAUGUAUUGGAGAUUGAAAAUUCCCUUAUAAUGCCUCAGUAUAUUUGUUGGUGGAAGAGGGUUUCAAGUAUGGUCUCUUUUAAGUAAGGCUGUAUCAUAUUACAAUAACAUAAUGAUAUUACUAAUGUUUUGAUUUAAAUAAAUAAGAACAAAAUUAGUACUUGUUGGAUGUAUUUCUCUUAUAAUCACAUCUGUAAGUGUUGUGUUUUGGCUCGUUGAUAUGAUUUGGAAGUUAGGAUUCAGCAAGCAAAUCCAAGUCCAGAAAGGAAAGAGGUUUUUUCUAUAAGUUCUAGGAAAGUAAUCUUUCAAGAUCUGUUAGGAUUUUGUCUACUAGGUUUAGGAGUCCUAAAACCUUAUUGUAUCAGCAGCCCCUAUUCACUAGAAAUAGGAGCUGCAGGGGGUUUUCUAAGGUUAAGAUAGAGAGCACAGAAAACCGAGAGCUAAGGGUGAUAGAGAGAUCUAGCAGGGAGUUGGGGAUUAGCAUAGGGAUUUCAAUAAGUACUUGUAAUCAGGUUGUUAUUCUCCAUAGUGCUAGUGAUCUCUCAAGAGAGAUCACAUAAGUGGACGUAGGCCAGGGUUUUUGGCUGAACCACUAUAAAAUUGUGUGUUCUGUGUUUCUAUCUUCAAGUUCAUCUAUCUACUUUGCUUAAGUCGUAAAGUACCAGUAAAGACCAGAAAAGAUCCUAGGGCGCUAACCACAAUAAGUGGUAUCAGAGCUUCGGCUCUGGUACUUUGCGAUGGUAGACAGCAAAGGCAUGGUCGAAGCAGAAGAUGUGAAAUCGUUCAUUAAACCCUUAAAUGGCAAGGAUGACUUCACGCUUGGCGGAGGAGGAUGAAGAGUGUCCUGAUUCUACAAGAUCUGUACGAGGCUGUUCUCGGGAUAGAGAAUAAGGCAGUUGAUAUGGCAGAUAAGGUUUGGCAGAAGAUGGACAAGAAGGCAAGGAGCACAAUAGAGUUGCAUCUUGCAGAUCAUGUACUGGGUCGUGUAUUGGAUAGUGGAGGUGACAAUAUGAGCAGCAAAGAGACCUGGGAUUAUCUUGAGAAGGUUUAUGCGGGUAAGGGUCCUAUUGGUGAGAAUAUGGACAGCAACAAGACAUUGGACAAUGUCAAGGAGGCUGACGCAGAUAAAUUCUUCUUGAAGAAAAACUCUAUAGUCUUCGGAUGGAAGAAGGCAGGGAUCUGCAGGAACAUCUGAAUAAAUUUCAGAUUUGUGUUGCCAAUUUAUCAGAGGUGGAUGUGCAAUAUGAAGAAGAGGAUAAAGGACUUAUGCUGCUAACAUCUUUACCAGCUUCAUACCAGCAGUUCAUCACCACACUCGUUUCCGGUAAGGAUUCUCUCAAGUACGAUGAGAGUACCGAAGCUAUUCAAUCUUAUAUUAAGACGAGUAGCGAGACCGAGAGCUCUCAAGGAGGCCUUCAAGUCAAGGGCAAGGAGACAAGUCAGUUGACCAGUAAAAAGGAUAAAUCUAGUAACAAGGGUACAACAAAAUCCAAGAAGAAGUACAAGGAAGGUUGCUUCAAAUGUGAUGCUGCAGACCACUUGAAAAGAAACUACAAAGAAGGGAGGAUGGAAGCACAGGUGACGGCAAGGAGUUCAAGUACAGCCAACAUAGUCAUCAGAAAAGAUGAAGAUGAUUGUGAACUUCUUGUGGUAACGUCCAGCUCCAACGCUUUCAGAGAUUGGAUUUUGGAUACCGGUUGUACAUUCCACAUGUGUGCAAUCCGAGAAUGGUUUGACACAUUUGAGGAGAGUAGCAGCGGAGAAGUUUUCCGGGGAGAUGACUCACAGUGUAGGAUCCUAGGUAUUGGAUCAGUGAAAAUCAGAAUGCAUGACAGAGUUGUUAGAAAGCUGGAGAAUGUCAGAUAUAUUCCUAAGUUAAGGAAGAACUUGAUAUCUUUGGGUACUUUGGACAAGGCCGGUCAUAGGUAUAGCUCUAAAGAAGGAAGACUAAAAGUUAUCAAGGGAUCACUUGUUGUGAUGAAGGGCGACAUUCAACCUAACAACGUGUACAAGCUUAAAGGGACUACCAUAAUAGGUGGAGUUGCAAUGUCUACUGAGGUAAAUGACAAGACUGAGCAAUGGCAGCAAGGCCUACGGCGCAUGAGUACAAAGAGGAAUGCAGGAACUCUACGAAGGAAAGUAAGGCAGAAGGUGUUGGUGUUUGCAAACUGAACUUCUGCAAGGAUGGUACUCUUGGGAAGCAGAAGGUGGCAUUCAAGUUGGUAGAUUGUGAGAACAAAAGCAAACGAUUGCUGGAUUAUAUUCACUCAGAAGUAUGGCGCGCAAAUCAAGUAAGGCGUAUGGGAGGCUUCAAGUACCUUGUUACUUUUCUAGAUGAUUUUUCAAGGAAGAUUUGGGCCUACUUUAUGAAGGAGAAAUCCGAGGUUCUCUUCAAGGUCAAGAAAGGGAAAAGCAAAGUAGGAAAUCUAGAAGGCAGAAAAAUCAAGUAUUUGAGAAGCAACGGUGGCAGUGAAUAUAGAAUGAAAGGGUUCUUACGGUUUUACAAGGAUGAAAUCACAAGGUGCAUCACGGUGAAAGAUAAUCUCCAGGAAAACGGGGCUGCUAGAAGGAUGAAGAAAACUUUUUUUGAGAAAGAAAGAGGCAUGCCGCUGCAUGCUGGGUUACCAGACACAUUUUGGAAAGAAGCAGUUAACCAUGCGUGUUAUUUGGUUAAUCGGUCACCAUCAAAGGUCUUGGACUUCAAGUGUGCAGAGGAGAUAUGGUCAAGAGAACCAGCUGGGUAUUCUAACUUAAGGAUGUUUGGUAGCAGUGCGUAUGCUCAUAUUUCGAGCAAUGAGCAAACCAAACUCAAGCCAAAUUUUCUAGGUGUUGAGAAAGGAGUAAAGGGCUACAAGUUAUGGAAUAUUGUCAGCAAGAAAAGGGUUCUAAGUAGAUAUGUUAUUGAUGAUAAGACUAUGCCGUUUAAUGAAGUAAAGACAAGUGAGGUGAAGACGAAGACUGAUGUUGGUGUUGUAGAUGAAGCAACAGAAGUUCCUCUAACCAAAGAGAUCAUGGAAGAGACUCCAGCUCAGGUGGAGCAAAUUGAGCAGGUGGAGCAAAUUGAGCAGGUGGAGCAUGAUAAAGGGGUUAUCGAGAUAGAAGUCUUAGAGCGGCAACAACAGUCACUAAUACAAGCUCAGGUGGAGCAAUUAGCACUGCGAACCUACGACUCAGUUCGUCAGUCGCUUGAGCAGGAGUUCCAGAGAAGCAUAGCAUUGGACAAGUAUGCUCUAAGUUUCAGUCCAGGAGAUCCAACCACGUAUCAGGAAGCUAUAGCAAAAAUAUAUACGGGAAAGUUGGAUGGGAGCUAUGUUAGAACAGAAGAAGAAGUCCAUACCAAAGGACUUGGUUCAGGAGUCGGUUCCUAAACCCAAAGAAGGAAAUCUGGUUGGCUGUAAAUGGGUUUAUAGGAAAAGGGAAGAAAUGCAUGAUAAGGAAGUCAUGAGUUGCAAAGCUCGGGUAUUGGCUAAGGAGUAUGCGUAUAAAGAAAAGGUCAAUUAUGACAAAAUCUCACCAGCAGAUAGAUGCGCUUAUUAUCAUGUGUUCAAGGAUAGCAUGAUUUUACUAUCAGGUGAUGUGUUAACUACAUGUCAGGAUGUGUCUAGAAUUCCAAAGUUAAAGACACAACUAAGGAGGGAAUUCGACAUGAAGGGUCUAGAAGCUGCACAACAGAUCCUAGAAGUGAAGGUAAGGAGGGACAGAGAAGCCAGAAAAUUAUGGCUGUUGACUGAACCCAUGUCUACUCCACCAGUAGCACACUUUCAGUUUAGUGUGCAGGGGGGAUCAUCUACAGUUGAGUUAGAUGAGAUGAUGCAUGUGUCUUAUGCAAGAGUAGUGGGAUGUCUUAUGGCUAGAAUCUUCAAAAGACCAGGUUUAACUCAAGGAUUGAGCAUUGUGUCAAAGUAUGUGGUGAAUCCGGGUAGACGAUACUGGCAAGCAGCAACGUGGAUUCUGUAUUACUUGAGAAACACAAAGGAACAUGAAUUUCUGUUUGAAAGACAACAAGAACAAGCAUGCAUUGCUGGUCAUGAGAGGUCAGAUUUGGCAGGAGACUUAGACAAAGGAAGAUCUGCAACAAGUAAUGUAUUUACUUGCAGCAAAGGUUCAGGAAGUUGUAGAACAACUAUGGAAUCAGCUGAGAUAUUGUCUACCACUGAAGUAGAUUGCAUGGCAGUAACAGAAGCUUCCGCAGAGGCGUUAUGGCUUAAUGGGUUAACGAGUGAGUUUGAGAUUCAACAAAAAACUGUGGUGAAGAAUGGUGUCAUCAAUUUGACAAGGAAUCAAGUGUUUCAAGCAGAGACGAAGCAUGUUGAUGUUCGUGGUCAUCGCAGCAAAGGUUGGGUCAGCUCAGGGAAGAUAACAACUGAGGAAGAAGCACAUUCAAGGGAGAAUGUUUCAGAUUGUUUUACCAGGACCAUUGCCAUAGAGAAGUUCAAGCAUUGCUUGGACUUCCUCAGUGUCACAGCUUGCUGAGUUGUGGUGGAGCACCUCCUCACUUGAGGUGCGUUAAGGCAAGAGGAGUCUUGCCAAGGUGAAGGCUCUUGGAGGUUUGUUCAGGGUUACUUCAAGAAGAUUCAAGAUAUCCUGAAGGGUGCAACAAUCAUUUGGUAUCAACUCACCAAGGUGGAGAUUGUUGUGUUUUGGCUCGUUGAUAUGAUUUGGAAGUUAGGAUUCAGCAAGCAAAUCCAAGUCCAGAAAGGAAAGAGGUUUUUUCUAUAAGUUCUAGGAAAGUAAUCUUUCAAGAUCUGUUAGGAUUUUGUCUACUAGGUUUAGGAGUCCUAAAACCUUAUUGUAUCAGCAGCCCCUAUUCACUAGAAAUAGGAGCUGCAGGGGGUUUUCUAAGGUUAAGAUAGAGAGCACAGAAAACCGAGAGCUAAGGGUGAUAGAGAGAUCUAGCAGGGAGUUGGGGAUUAGCAUAGGGAUUUCAAUAAGUACUUGUAAUCAGGUUGUUAUUCUCCAUAGUGCUAGUGAUCUCUCAAGAGAGAUCACAUAAGUGGACGUAGGCCAGGGUUUUGGCUGAACCACUAUAAAAUUGUGUGUGCUGUGUUUCUAUCUUCAAGUUCAUCUAUCUACUUUGCUUAAGUUGUAAAGUACCAGUAAAGACCAGAAAAGAUCCUAGGGCGCUAACCACAAUAGUAAGUGCAUUUAUAAAAUUUAUUGGAAUGAAAAGUAUGAAUCCAUGCCAUUGGGAUAUAGUCUUUGCCUUAAAAUGCAUGAAUCAUUUUGUUUUGUGCUUCCCACAAGAAAUACAUGGUGCAAAGACAAUUGAUUGAUUUAGGCUUCUGGUCAUAAUGUUGAUCGUACUAAAAGAGCAUAUGCUAUAGUAAUAUAGAAUUCAUUUACUAGUGAGGCAUGUUAUUAGCUAGCCUUUGGUUAUAAAAUUUGGUUGUUUUAUCAUUCUUUCAAUUUGACAGGCAAUUGGUUCUUUCCAAAAGCAGCAGCAAGAGACAAGGAAAAUCAGACAUAUCAGCGAAAGAAGAGGAAAACUAGAAGAGGGAGAUCAAGUAUACAAUUUUGGUAUUGUUCUUUAAAUAAUUUUAGCCAGUUCUCCAUAUAACUGUUUGGUGGAGUAUAUCCCAAUGUCAAGUUUCUUACAUGCAUAAACUUGUUAAUAUAUGUGUCUAAAUUUGGUUAACAAAAUUGGAUUUCACUAGUUUUCAUUGGUCAUUUUGAUGUGUAUCUGGAUUCGAGCUUUGACAAUCAUAUGUUUGUGUUUACAACCAAAAGUAGGGUGUCAUAGUUAAUAAUCUAUAUAUUUUUUGUGCAGAUACUGAAACAUGAAAAGGUUUUGAGCAAGAAGCCCCCUGCUCCUCACACCAUGGAUGUGUAUGUGUGUAGUAGUGCACCCAUGCUCGUUUUUUUGUGUAGGUCAUUCAAUACAGG